ensembl:snRNA U6 U6 spliceosomal RNA
GUGCUCACUUCGGCAGCAAGUAUACUAAAACUGGAAUGAUACAGAGAUUAUAUGGUCCCUGUACAAGGAUGACAUGCAAAUUUGUGAAGCGUUUCAUUAAAAA